rfam:Triticum urartu cultivar G1812 contig1210287, whole genome shotgun sequence.
UGGCGAUGAUGAUAAAUUUGUGGCUUGUUUCUGAAACAUUCGCAGUUGCCGCCUAAGAGCUUUCGCCCAGUCAGGCUUGAGAGCCAAUGCUGCUAAUUCCUUCCUUGGAUGUCUGAUCCU